UACAGAGGUCUCAAGCGUUGUUCGGAUUCAUUGGGCGUAAAGGGUGCGUAGGCGGCGCGGUAAGUCGGGUGUGAAAUCGUCGGGGCUUAACUCCGAAACUGCAUUCGAUACUGCCGUGCUUGAGGACUGGAGAGGAGACUGGAAUUUACGGUGUAGCGGUGAAAUGCGUAGAUAUCGUAAGGAAGACCAGUGGCGAAGGCGGGUCUCUGGACAGUUCCUGACGCUGAGGCACGAAGGCCCAGGGGAGCAAACGGG
rnacentral:rRNA from 1 species